GACGAACGCUGGCGGCGUGCUUAACACAUGCAAGUUGAACGAUGAAGCCUUAGCUUGCUUUGGUGGAUUAGUGGCGAACGGGUGAGUAACACGUGAGCAACGUGCCCAGGACUCUGGAAUAACCGCGGGAAACCGUGGCUAAUACCGGAUAGGUGCCGAGGCCGCAUGGUCUUCGGUUGGAAAGUUUUUGCGGUUCUGGAUCGGCUCACGGCCUAUCAGCUUGUUGGUGGGGUAAUGGCCUACCAAGGCGACGACGGGUAGCCGGCCUGAGAGGGUGACCGGCCACACUGGGACUGAGACACGGCCCAGACUCCUACGGGAGGCAGCAGUGGGGAAUAUUGCACAAUGGGCGCAAGCCUGAUGCAGCAACGCCGCGUGGGGGAUGACGGCCUUCGGGUUGUAAACCUCUUUUAGUAGGGAAGAAGCGCAAGUGACGGUACCUGCAGAAAAAGCACCGGCUAACUACGUG
rnacentral:rRNA from 1 species